AAUUAAGGACGUUCGACUAAGAUCGCCACGUCCUGUGGCAACGUCGAACUACCCUACAUCCUGUAGG
rfam:Virgibacillus necropolis strain LMG 19488 chromosome, complete genome.